rnacentral:rRNA from 1 species
AGGGCGUCUAGGCGGCCAAUCAAGUCGACGUUGAAAGCCCUUGGCUAAACUGAGGGAGGUACGUCGAAACUGAUCGGCUCGAGGAACGUAGAGGAAGGCGGAACUCUCGGAGUAGCGGUGAAAUGCGUAGAGACCGAGAGGUAUCCCGAUGGCGAAGGCAGCCUUCUGGGCGUCUCCUGACGCUGAAGCGCUAAGGCCAGGGGAGCGAAGGGGAUUAGAUACCCCCGUAGUCCUGGCUUCAAACGAUGUGGGCUUGGUGUCGGCUCCCGAUAGAGAGUCGUUGCCGAAGUUAACGCGUUAAGCCUACCGCCUGGGGAUUACGUCCGCAAGGAUGAAACUCAAGGGAAUUGACGGGGGCCUACACAACCGGUGGAGCACGUGGUUUAAUUCGAUGAUAAGCGAAGAACCUUACCAGGGCUUGACCUAGCGGUAGUAGAACCGUGAAAGGGGAACGACCUCAGGCUUUGCUUGAGGAGCCGUGGCAGGUAUUGCAUGGCUGUCGUCAGCUCGUGUCGUGGGACGUUGGGUUAAGUCCCGUAACGAGCGCAACCCCUGCCCUUAAUUGCCAGCGGGUAAUGCCGGGGACUAUAAGGGGACUGCCGGAGAAUAUCCGGAGGAAGGAGGGGAUGACGUCAAGUCAUUAUGAUCCUUAUGCUCUGGGCGACACACGUGCUACAAUGGUCACUACAAUGAGGAGCGAGCCCGCAAGGGUCAGCAAAUCUCAAAAAGGUGAUCUCAGUGCGGAUUGGGGUCUGCAACCCGACCCCAUGAAGAUGGAAUCGGUAGUAAUCGCGGGUCAGCCAUACCGCGGUGAAUAUGUACCUGGGCCUUGUACACACCGCCCGUCACACCA